AACGAACGCUGGCGGCAGGCUUAACACAUGCAAGUCGAGCGCCCCUCAAGGGGAGCGGCAGACGGGUGAGUAACGCGUGGAAAUCUACCCAUCUCUACGGAAUAACGCAUGGAAACGUGUGCUAAUACCGUAUACGUCCUUCGGGAGAAAGAUUUAUCGGAGAUGGAUGAGCCCGCGUUGGAUUAGCUAGUUGGUGGGGUAAAGGCCUACCAAGGCGACGAUCCAUAGCUGGUCUGAGAGGAUGAUCAGCCACACUGGGACUGAGACACGGCCCAGACUCCUACGGGAGGCAGCAGUGGGGAAUAUUGGACAAUGGGCGCAAGCCUGAUCCAGCCAUGCCGCGUGAGUGAUGAAGGCCCUAGGGUUGUAAAGCUCUUUCACCGGUGAAGAUAAUGACGGUAACCGGAGAAGAAGCCCCGGCUAACUUCGUGCCAGCCGCCGCCGUAAGAC
rnacentral:rRNA from 1 species